rnacentral:rRNA from 1 species
CAGCCGCCGCGGGAAUACGAAGGAUGCAAGCGUUAAUCGGAAUUACUGGGCGUAAAGCGUGCGUAGGCGGUGAGUUAAGUCUGCUGUGAAAUCCCCGGGCUCAACCUGGGAAUGGCAGUGGAUACUGGCUCGCUAGAGUGUGUCAGAGGAUGGUGGAAUUCCCGGUGUAGUGGUGAAAUGCGUAGAGAUCGGGAGGAACAUCAGUGGCGAAGGCGGCCAUCUGGGACAACACUGACGCUGAGGCACGAAAGCGUGGGGAGCAAACAGGAUUAGAGACCCCUGUAGUCCCUGUCUCUUAUAC